UCCACUUUCCAGCAAACUUCGACGAGUAGUCGUUAAAAUGCUCAGGCAAAGAGAAAUUUGAACAUCUAUACUGACAACUGGGCAAAUUCCAUCUGCUGAAGAAGAUUGUGGGAUACAAGGGGGUUAGGAUUCGUUCAGUGUUCAUUGUACCGAGAUCUACAUCAUCUGCAGAGGUCUCCUCUCCGGAAAAAACAGUUAAGCAGUUUAAUGCUAAAAAUCAGUGUUUCUCCAAUGCUGUUCGGCAGACACUGGACACUGCAAACCAUAGCUGCUGCUAACAUUUGCUUAGCAUGUUUCUCUGGGAAAGAGAAGUUUGGGGUUCCCUGCUGGAGCUGCUCCCCCCGCGACCCGAUCCCGGAUAAGCGGAUGAAGAUGGAUGGAUGGAUGGAUGGUUUCUCUGAUAACUUAAGAUCCAGACGUCUGAUGACUAAAAUCCUUCAUCGAUUAAACAGGCGGAUGACAAGGAAAGGAAUGCAGCAGAUUCAGGCGGUCUGCGAAGUGAAGAGUCAGAGGGGGGGCCAGAGGAGGCGGCUCCCCGGACAGCAUGAUUCAUCCUCUGCUUUCUCUUUUGUGUGUGUACGUGUGUGUCACUACCAUACACAUGGCAGGCAUGCCGAUGGAGCCGGGGAGGAACAUUCUGGAAAAGAGGGACAUGUAGAGCUGAGUUACAGUACAAUAUGCGGCUGUGGUGGUGGUGAUAGACAAUGGAAGAGUGCAAAUGCAAGAUUACUGGACAUACACUGUUAGCCAGCGACAAUGCAAAGGGCUUCAAUCUGUCAGUGGAGAACACACAGCUGAAAAUAAUUACUGCAGAGCAAUGGUCUGCAUGAGUGAGCUUCACUGACCACAACACUACAGUUACAAUUCACUCGUCAUAAAAUUGUCAGGUGACUGAAGAAUAAAAACAUACAUCACA